rnacentral:misc_RNA from 1 species
UCGUUAAUUUUUAAAAUUUGUUUAUCUUACAAAUUCGGUUAUUUUAUUUAAAAAUAUCACAACAGUUAAUAUAAUACUCAUCAUAGAAUUAUGUGAUUUAAAUUAGAAUUAUUCUUAUUUAUUUUUCAGUUAAGACAUUAGUGACAAUUUAUUAUUAUCUGCCAAAAUUUUAGUGUCAUUGAUCACAAAUCAGAAAUAAUGCCAGUUUUAAAAGUUAAUAAGUAAAAGAUGGAGAAAAAUGACAAAGAAAAGAGUGAAGGAGAAGAUUCUUCAACAAAACAGGUGUUAGAAUAUUAUCAAAAAUACUCCCAAAGUAAACAACUGCCAAAAUACUUCUCUGGAACUUCCAUUUCAUAUUUACCUCAAAUUGUAGAUGAUGAACCCUCUGCAAGAAAACGAGAUAUAAUAUAUCCGACAAGAGAUGUUACUACCAUCCCUCCAAAGCAAUAUGAGAAACCCGAGCCAAAUCCUGAAAUGCUGUCUCCCACUGAAUCUGUAGCCUCAAAUAAAAAGUUAGAAUGGGAUAAUUUGGGUGAUAUCGGCUACAAUAAUGCUAAAAGACUUCACAAAACUGCUUCAUUACCAAUAUUAACACAACAUCCAAUCAUUAAAAUUGAUGACAUACCUAAAAGUCCAACGGAUAAUGUGAAAAUAGUUAUUUAUCCAUAUACAAGCAGUUCCGAAGACAAAACUAGCGAAAAAAAUACCGUACAGUCCUCAUCAUCAUCUCCUUUUAUGGAAAAGGAAAUACCAUCCUCAUCGGGUACAACUUCUUUUCAUUCUAGUGAAAAACAAAAAUUGCUAAGCUCAGAUUCAGAUUCUUCUCUAAACAAUAGCAAAAUUUUAGAGUUUAAAAAAAGUUUGAACUAUAUAAAGAAGAAAAUUGGACUUCCAGAUGCCCACUCUACACCUCAUGAAACUGGCUCUCCCAAUAUCGAGUGCCAAGUAAUAAAUGAAACCCCCUUAGUCAAAAAAACUGAUAAACCCAUUAAAAAUAUUUUGAGAGAUAUUCAGAUUGAGAAUGAAAACGUAAAAAGUAACAUGUUAAUGAAACCUACAAACAGUGGAAUAACUUUUCCAGCUAAUUCCAAUAAGAAAAAUGUAAAUUUGUGCCUUACGAAACCUAUCUUAGUAGAUUGCUUGCCAAAAACAAAUAAGAAGCAAUACGCAGUUGGCGUUCAAACUGGGAGUAGUGUGGUUGACUGUAAGUCUCCUCCAGAACCAAUUGAGUUAAUUACUUUCUAUAAAGAGCCUGACAAUAAUAAAACUAGUGAUUCUGGAAAAUCAAGUAGCUCCAAUGGUGUUGCAUCUAAAUGCGAUAGUUUUGAAUAUGUCAAAAGUAGUAAUAAUGGACAAAAUAUUUCUAUGAGAUCUGAAAGUAAUCCUAUCGAAAUUGCAGAAGGUCAUAUAACUGACAACAAUAAAGAAAAUUCUAAUAAUUCUGAAAACUCUGAAGCUGCAACAAAUAAUCAAGAAUUGGAAACUCACUGUACAAAAUCUGAUGACAUAGAAAAGCACAUAUAUGUUUUACAAAGAUUAAUAAGGUCAAAGAAAUAUGAUUCCUCAGCCAAAAGAAAAUAUAUCAGAAAAAUUUUACAAAAAAUAACCGAAUCUAAAUACCUAGAAGACUCAAGUACAAGUUCUGAUCUGUUUUAUCCUAAAACAGACCCUUCGAAAAUUCUUCAUGAUCAAAUUAAAAAUUCUUCAUUUAAAAAUGAAAAUACAUCAUCCUCUUACCAAUCUCAUGAAGACAAAAAAGUAUCUCCCAAAAAGAAAGCAUCUGAAAGCACAGACUCUGAUAUAUCUCAUGAAAGAGAACAAAAAAUAGAAAUUAAACCUUCAACUUCUAAAUCGGCUACAUUUGGUUACAGAAAAGAAAGUAAACUAGCACCAAAGAAGAAAUUAGAUAGUACCAAUCUUCUUAGUAAACCUUCUAUCCAAUCUGAAGUACCUGUGAGUAAAAGAACAAAAAGAACUCCAUUUACAGUUACUAGAGAACCUAACGACACUGAUAAAUCUUCAUCUCCACAGUCACAUCAAAACUGGAAAGAGUGUAAAACCGUAUCAGAGAAAAUGUUCGAAAACAGUAGACAAGUCAUUGGAGCUGGUGAUCAAGUAACACAAUUUGCUGAUAAAGAAAGACAGUACCAGCUUAACUGGAUAGAUAGAGAAAUUAAUCAUUUGGGGAAACUAAAGAGCAUUUUAGAAAAACACAAAGAACCUUAUCCUCUACCAGAAAAUUUAAAGAAAAUGACACAUGUUUACAUGGUCACAGCUGAUAAUAACGAUGCUGUUCAUAGAAACUAUGUUAUAGAAACUAAACUCGGAACUGGAACUUCUCGGCAAAGAAAUUUUAGAAUCAAUGGAGAAAACUAUAUUGUUGAAGAUCCAAAUGUUCAUAGUCAAGAUAAUAACCAAGCGCCUCCUUUAGUUGCAGAUAUCCAAGUCUUAGCUACAGAUAAAACCACAAAUAUUAAAGUUACUGCAUUCUGUAGUGUUUGCAAGAGAUCGCCAUGUGUUUGUGUUACAGACUUCUUACAAGGAAUAAGUAACCCAUUUAAAGUCAGUGAUAAUAAAGUACAAAAACAUUUAAACGACAAAGCCAAAUCUUAUUCGAGCACUUGUUCUUGUAAUACUACUGCUAGUUCCACAGCUACCAGCAGAGAUUCUUCACACACUAUAUGUAUUCAUUGCCAUAGAGCACCCUGUACAUGCUGUUCUUGCAAAAAAACUCAUGACGUAAAAACAUGCUCAGUUUGUCAGCUGUAUUCCUGUAUGUGUGUCAUAAGUCCAAAAGAUUCAUAUGUGGGAACAUUCAUACCAACUAAGAAAUCAUCAGAAGGAUCUCAGAAGAAAGUCUGCAGUUUGUGUAAAGCUUUAUCUUGUAUGUGUAGCGUCGAAACAAAAUCAAGAAAAUGUUCUACAUGUACUACUUACCCCUGCAUAUGCAAAAAAAUUUCUACCAAAACGAAAAAAUCAGAAUGCAAGUGUAAAAGCACACCAUGUACCUGUUCAGGUCUUUCCUUUAAAUCAGCAAAAACCGUUUGCUCCAAAUGUGGAAUUUCAUCUUGUAUUUGUCCGUUAUCUUCCAGAACCACUAGUUCUACUACGAGUACAGUAGAUACAGACUUAUUAAGAAAAUUAUUUUCUGAUUGCAAAUGUGGAGCUUCUAGUUCGUGUAGUUGUGAGUUUGUAAAUAAAUUACUACAACAUUUUAACAAAAAAGAUGUUGAAGUUUACACUAGAGCACUUAGCAAUGAAUGUACUGAUGUUGGCACACAAAAUCUUGUACCUGUUGAUGAUAAAAGAGUUCAGGAUGUAUUGCUCACACAAGAAAAAUAUGUUCAACCAAAGUUUACAAAAACGGACUGUAGUUCGCAAACAGAUACGCUUAAGUCACAUUCUAAAGUUGUUUCAACAGAAGGAGCCGAAUGUAUCAAUGAAUUAGUCCAAGCAGGUAUUCGUGAUGAAAGCACAGGAACUAUUCACAGUGCAGCGACAACUACUGAAACUGUUGCACCAUUAGGUAGGACAAGUUCUUUAGAUUCAAGAAAGUCAUCUAUUGGAUCAGAUGCAAAUAGACAUAUUAGCAUUCAAUCUGAUGUAUGUUCAAAAGAAAAAGCAACAUAUUCUCAUGAUCUUCCUGAACGUGUUGACAAAUCUGUAGGUAAGACCACUGAUGAAUGUGGUACACAAUCAAUUAAAAUUUCAAGAAAGUCAUUUACUGAGUCAGAUACAAAUAAACACAUUAGCAUUCAAUCUGACGUAUGUUCAAAAGAAAAAGCAACAUAUUCUAAGGAUCCUCCUGAAACUGUCAGUAAGUCUGUUGGUAAAUCCACUGAGGAAUGUAGUACACAACAUGAACGAAAAAAAGGAUACUUCGCUAAGUUGACUGAAAGAGGAGUAAGUGGUUCAAACAAUAAUAUUGAAUCAGUUGAUAAAGAUAUUGAAGCAAGAGUCUCCCAAGUUUUAAAAGGAACUGAUACAUGUACUCCGCGAGAAACUGCUGAUAAAGGUGUAUGCCAUAAGCCAUCACUUGUCGAUCAAGAAACUGAUUAUAGUCCUAGAAUAGUAUCCGUUGAGCAAGGAACAUGUCCAAGAUCUGCUGAAAGCUCUGCAAGAGUAUCCAUCGACACAGGAACUUGUCACAGCCCUGUGGUUGAUAAAGAGUUUCAGACUACUGCUAAAACGCUUGUAGAUCAAGGCACUGGAGACCAAAAAGCAAGUGACCAAUGCCACAAAUCACUAAAUGCUCAACAUACCCCACCGAUGUUCUAUGAAACUGACGUGGGUGUGUCUACUGUAUCUGAAAAGCAUAGAAGAGGAGCAACCUCAACUGGUGGUUCUAAAAAAUCACGCUCACGGUCGUCAGAAAGUAAAGAAAUUGGAAAUAGCGGUUUUAAUACAAGUUCAGGUAAGAAAUCUAAGGUCCCCCAUUCUGAAAAAACUACAGUUACUUCUUCAGAAGCCGAAGUUGGUCCAAGCCUUAAGCACCAAAAAAUCAGCGAUGAUAUUAGUACAAGUACAAAUAAAUUAAAAGUCUCUAGUUAUGAACAAACUACAAUUGCAUCGUCAGAAGCCAAAGUAGGUCCAAGUACUACCCACAGAAGAUUAAGUGAUAAAAUUGGUACAGAUACAGUUAACUUAAAAGCCUCUAGUGGUGAACAAACCGUAUUGACAUCGCCAGAUGCCAAAGUUGGUCCAAAUGUUACCCUCAGAAAAACUAGUGAUGAUAUAAGUGCAAGUACAGAAAAAUUAAAAGCCUCUAGUUGUGAACAAACUACAUUUACUUCGUCAGAUGCCAGAGUUGGUCCAGUUCUUACACAAGGUGGUGAUAUUUGUACAAGUACUGAUAAAUUCACAUCUUCAGACGCUAAAGUUGGUCCAAUUCGUGGACAAAGUGGUGAUAUUUGUACAAGUACUGAUAAUUUAAAAGUCUCUAGUUGUGAACAAACUAUAUUUGCAUCGUCAGAUGCUCAAGUUGGUCCAAGUCUUAGACGCAGUGAUGAUAUUUGUACAAGUACUGAUAAAUUACAAGUCUCUAGUUGUGAACAAACUAUAUUUGCAUCGUCAGAUGCUCAAGUUGGUCCAACUGUUAGACGUAGUGAUGAUAUUUGUACAAGUACUGAUAAAUUUUCAUCUUCAGACGCUAAAGUUGGUCCAAUUCGUGGACAAAGUGGUGAUAUGUGUACAAGUACUGAUAAUUUAAAAGUCUCUAGUUGUGAACAAGCUAUAUUUGCAUCGUCAGAUGCUCAAGUUGGUCCAAGUCUUAGACGCAGUGAUGAUAUUUGUACAAGUACUGAUAAAUUACAAGUCUCUAGUUGUGAACAAACUAUAUCUAUAUCAUCAGAAGCCAAAGUUGGUCCAAGUCUUAGACACAGUGAUGAUAUUUGUACAAGUACCGACAAAUUAAAAGUUUCUAGUCGUGAACAAACUACAAGAGUUAAGAGUAAAAAACGCAGAGAAAUUGAUAUUGACAGUUUAAAGAAAAACCUUAACUCCAGAGGUAUUCAGACGGAGUUACUCUCAAAUGAUAUUCGAUCAAUAGAUAGUUUCGCAUGCAUUUGUCCUUCUCAAAGUAGUAUUGAAAAGUCUCCGUGUUAUUGUUGCGGAGACAAAAGGAAGAAAAAAUCCAAACAUAUGUUGAUAUGUGCUCCUUCAGAGGACUCUCAUAAAAGUCGAAAAGUUAAAACUUAUUAUAUAAAAGAAGCAAGUUUAAAGAAGAGUGGCCGUCGAAGAUGCUACUCUUCGUGUGCAGAACGCGUUUGUUGUAGAACUAGAUCUAAAUCAGUUUUAAAAGAAUCCUGUUGCUCAUGUCAUUGUGAGAGCAAAAAGCCUAGGUGUUGUUGUCAAAAUGAAAAGCUUAACAAUUGUACCGAAGCAUGUAGUGCUGCUACCCCUCAAAAAACCCCCAUUUCGACUGACGAGCCAGAAAAAGAAUACGCAAGUUUAUUAAUUCAGUCAGUGUCAGUUAACAAUCCUCCUGUAGUAAAUUAUCCUCAUAUGGGAUAUUCAAACAUGAUACAGACUCACCCACCGAUUCAGUAUACACAAACUCAUCCGCACAUAGCACGUGUUGCUGCUGUGGGAACAAGGUGCCAUUGGAACAGAUAUCCUUAUUGCGGAGCAAUAACAAACAGUUUUCCGUUUGCGAGGUGUGCCUCAAGAAACGGCCCAUAUUAACGACUAUAUGUUUCGCUAAUCCAGAAGAUACCACCACCGAAUCUUCAACCCCUUCCAAAACUGUAACAGACCACUUUAGACGCGCUGAAAACUAUUGUACCUGUAAAAAAUCUGUGAAAACUAAGAAUUUUGAAUACUGCCAACAUUGUAGACAACAAUUGAAAAAAACUCAAAAAAAUCGGAACGGAAUAGCGUACACUUUGACGUUAGAAGAUGAAACACCUGAAAAGUUUAAAUCUAGGUCAAAGAAGAAAAUAAAAAAGCUUGAAGAAAUCAAAAUUAAAGUGCCGAAUCCUUUCAAUCGAAAGCAACACAAAAAUAGGGAAAAUAAUUAUAGGAAAGAUGAAGAUAA